rnacentral:misc_RNA from 1 species
GAUGAAGAACGUAGCGAAAUGCGAUAAGUAAUGUGAAUUGCAGAACUCAGUGAAUCAUCGAAUCUUUGAACGCACAUUGCGCCCGCUAGUAUUCUGGCGGGCAUGCCUGUCCGAGCGUCAUUUCAACCCUCAAGCCCCUCCGGGGGCCUGGCGUUGGGGAUCGGCCCCGCUCCGGCGGCCGGCCCCGAAAUGUAGUGGCGGUCUCGCCGCUGCCUCCUCUGCGUAGUAGAAACACCUCGCAUUGGGACGCGGCGGGCCCACGCCGUUAACCAGAUGAAUUUUUUCAAGGUUGACCUCGGAUCAGGUAGGAAUACCCGCUGAACUUAAGCAUAUCAAUAAGCGGAGGA